AUUGAACGCUGGCGGCAGGCCUAACACAUGCAAGUCGAGCGGAUGAAGGAGCUUGCUCCUGGAUUCAGCGGCGGACGGGUGAGUAAUGCCUAGGAAUCUUCCUGGUAGUGGGGGAUAACGUCCGGAAACGGGCGCUAAUACCGCAUACGUCCUGAGGGAGAAAGUGGGGGACCUUCGGACCCCACGCUAUCAGAUGAGCCUAGGUCGGAUUAGCUAGUUGGUGGGGUAAAGGCCUACCAAGGCGACGAUCCGUAACUGGUCUGAGAGGAUGAUCAGUCACACUGGAACUGAGACACGGUCCAGACUCCUACGGGAGGCAGCAGUGGGGAAUAUUGGACAAUGGGCGAAAGCCUGAUCCAGCCAUGCCGCGUGUGUGAAGAAGGUCUUCGGAUUGUAAAGCACUUUAAGUUGGGAGGAAGGGCAGUAAGUUAAUACCUUGCUGUUUUGACGUUACCAACAGAAUAAGCACCGGCUAACUUCGUG
rnacentral:rRNA from 1 species